UACGAAGGGGGCUAGCGUUGUUCGGAAUUACUGGGCGUAAAGCGCGUGUAGGCGGGUCUUUAAGUCAGGGGUGAAAUGCCAAGGCUCAACCUUGGAACUGCCCUUGAUACUGGCGGUCUCGAGUCCGGGAGAGGUGAGUGGAACUGCGAGUGUAGAGGUGAAAUUCGUAGAUAUUCGCAAGAACACCAGUGGCGAAGGCGGCUCACUGGCCCGGUACUGACGCUGAGGUGCGAAAGCGUGGGGAGCAAACAGG
rnacentral:rRNA from 1 species